rnacentral:rRNA from 1 species
UCGACAGGCUUAACACAUGCAAGUCGAGGGGCAGCACAGGUAGCAAUACCGGGUGGCGACCGGCGCACGGGUGAGUAACGCGUAUGCAACUUGCCUAUCAGAGGGGGAUAACCCGGCGAAAGUCGGACUAAUACCGCAUGAAGCAGGGGCCCCGCAUGGGGAUAUUUGCUAAAGAUUCAUCGCUGAUAGAUAGGCAUGCGUUCCAUUAGGCAGUUGGCGGGGUAACGGCCCACCAAACCGACGAUGGAUAGGGGUUCUGAGAGGAAGGUCCCCCACAUUGGUACUGAGACACGGACCAAACUCCUACGGGAGGCAGCAGUGAGGAAUAUUGGUCAAUGGCCGAGAGGCUGAACCAGCCAAGUCGCGUGAGGGAUGAAGGUUCUAUGGAUCGUAAACCUCUUUUAUAAGGGAAUAAAGUGCGGGACGUGUCCCGUUUUGUAUGUACCUUAUGAAUAAGGAUCGGCUAACUCCGUGCCAGCAGCCGCGGUAAUACGGAGGAUCCGAGCGUUAUCCGGAUUUAUUGGGUUUAAAGGGUGCGUAGGCGGCCUUUUAAGUCAGCGGUGAAAGUCUGUGGCUCAACCAUAGAAUUGCCGUUGAAACUGGGGGGCUUGAGUAUGUUUGAGGCAGGCGGAAUGCGUGGUGUAGCGGUGAAAUGCAUAGAUAUCACGCAGAACCCCGAUUGCGAAGGCAGCCUGCCAAGCCAUUACUGACGCUGAUGCACGAAAGCGUGGGGAUCAAACAGGAUUAGAUACCCUGGUAGUCCACGCAGUAAACGAUGAUCACUAGCUGUUUGCGAUACACUGUAAGCGGCACAGCGAAAGCGUUAAGUGAUCCACCUGGGGAGUACGCCGGCAACGGUGAAACUCAAAGGAAUUGACGGGGGCCCGCACAAGCGGAGGAACAUGUGGUUUAAUUCGAUGAUACGCGAGGAACCUUACCCGGGUUUGAACGCAUUCGGACCGAGGUGGAAACACCUUUUCUAGCAAUAGCCGUUUGCGAGGUGCUGCAUGGUUGUCGUCAGCUCGUGCCGUGAGGUGUCGGCUUAAGUGCCAUAACGAGCGCAACCCUUGCCACUAGUUACUAACAGGUUAGGCUGAGGACUCUGGUGGGACUGCCAGCGUAAGCUGCGAGGAAGGCGGGGAUGACGUCAAAUCAGCACGGCCCUUACAUCCGGGGCGACACGCGUGUUACAAUGGCGUGGACAAAGGGAUGCCACCUGGCGACAGGGAGCGAAUCCCCAAACCACGUCUCAGUUCGGAUCGGAGUCUGCAACCCGACUCCAUGAAGCUGGAUUCGCUAGUAAUCGCGCAUCAGCCAUGGCGCGGUGAAUACGUUCCCGGGCCUUGUACACACCGCCCGUCAAGCCAUGGGAGCCGGGGGUACCUGAAGUCCGUAACCGAAAGGAUCGGCCUAGGGUAAAACUGGUGACUGGGG